GUGUGGCUAACUACUUUCCAGAAUGAUAUUGUAAGGGUACGGAUCAUUUGCCAUUUCUAUCUCUUCUGAAUUUUUGUCCUCAAUUUCCUACAUUUUCUUCCUCUUCUUCAGUUUCUCUUCAUUCUUCAAAGAUCCAACUUUACUGUUCUCUCUUUGCCUUUCAAGUUUCAAUCUCUUUCCUUUUUCUUUCUUUUUCAGUCAUUGCUCACCACUGUGAAGGAAUUACUCCAGUGUGUGUGUGCAAGGCUCCAUGCUGUCUAAAUUUUGAGUUUUUUCUUUGUUUUUGGUCACUUCCAUGCAAGAUUUGAAAUGGGUGUUUCAAGAACCAGCCAGUGAUGCUAAAAUGAAGCUAUUAUUCUCUUUUUUGCCUGGUUAGUAUGGUUCUUGAUGAAGCAAAAUGCAACUCUGCAGAUCUGCUACCAUGAGAAACAACUACAUAAAGCUUGUUUUAGUACUGCUUUGUCUUGUUUCUGUGGUUUACAGUGAUACAGAUCCCAACGACUGGACUAUUCUCAAAGCAUUCAGAGAUGGGUUAGAGAACCCAGAGCUCUUGGAGUGGCCUGCGACUGGUGAUGACCCAUGUGGCCAAUCCUGGAAGCAUGUUCAAUGUGUUGGUUCAAGGGUCUCUCAAAUUCAGGUACAAAAUAUGAGUUUGAAGGGCUCUUUGCCUCAGAACCUCAACCAGCUCAUCAUGCUCAAUAACUUAGGCCUCCAGAGGAACCAAUUUUCUGGGCCUUUACCAUCCUUCAGUGGUUUAUCGAAACUGCAGUAUGCUUAUUUGGAUUACAAUCAGUUCGAUUCUGUCCCAUCUGACUUCUUUGUAGGUUUAGAGAGUUUGCAAUUCUUGGCAUUGGAUAACAACCCUUUCAAUGCCACUGGGUGGACAUUCCCCAUGGACCUGAAUGUUUCUUCACAAUUGACCAAUCUUUCUUGUAUGAAUUGUAAUUUGGCUGGUCCACUGCCUGAUUUUCUAGGGAGCUUGUUCUCUCUGCGGAACCUGAAACUCUCAGGCAAUAAUUUAUCAGGAGAAAUUCCGCUGAGCUUCGGUGUUUUGCCUCUACAGAAUCUAUGGCUAAAUGAUCAAAAAGGCGGUGGCUUGAGUGGUACAAUUGAUGUGGUGGCAACUAUGGAAUCGGUAAGUGUUCUGUGGCUUCAUGGGAAUCAGUUCACAGGUAAAAUUCCAAAGAGCAUUGGUAAUCUGACUCAUUUGAAGGAUCUCAAUCUGAAUAGUAAUAGACUUGUUGGAUUAAUUCCUGAUAGCUUGAAAAAUAUGCCACUAGAGCAUUUAGAUUUGAACAAUAAUCAGCUAAUGGGCCCAAUUCCUGAGUUUAAGGCAGCUAAGGCGUCUUGUACUUCAAAUUCCUUUUGUCAAUCCACUGCAGGGGUUCCUUGUGCCCCAGAAGUUAUGGCACUUUUAGAUUUCCUUGAUGGGUUGAAUUUUCCUCCUAGACUUGUUUCUUCAUGGACUGGUAAUGAUCCAUGUUCAGUAUGGAUGGGGGUGACUUGUGAUUCCAAUAAGGUGCAUUCCAUUGCUUUGCCUAAAUAUAAUCUUAGUGGUACCUUGAGUCCUUCAGUUGCAAAACUAGGUUCUCUUCAGCAAAUUAAACUUGGGGGCAACAAUCUUAGUGGUCCAGUUCCAACAAAUUGGACUUCCUUGACCUCUUUGGAAACCUUGGAUCUUAGUAACAACAACAUUUCCCCUCCAUUUCCAAGAUUCCCUACCACUGUGAAGCUAGUCAUUGAUGGCAAUCCUCUAUUAGCAGGUGGUAAGCCAGCCCCAUCCCCUGAUAACAAUCCUUCUUCUGGAAGUUCAAAUUCACCUAAACCCCCAUCACAAACCAAAGGCAUAAAUUCUAAUCCUGGUGAUUCUGUAGAACCAGCAAAACAGAAAAGCAAGGGCUCCACAUUGGUUGCAAUUGUAGCUCCUGUUGCAAGUGUUGCAUUUGCUGCUAUUCUGAUCAUUCCUCUAUCCAUUUACUAUUGUAAGAAGAGAAAAGACACGUCCCAGGCUCCAACUUCCCUAGUCAUUCACCCAAGAGAUCCAUCUGAUUCAGAUAACAUGGUUAAGAUUGUUGUUGCCAAUAACACCAACGGAAGCACUUCAACAUUAACAGGGAGUGGUUCUGCAAGCAGAAAUAGUAGUGGUAUUGGUGAGUCUCAUGUCAUCGAAGCAGGAAAUCUGGUCAUAUCAAUUCAAGUUCUUAGAAACGUGACAAAGAAUUUUUGCCCGGAGAAUGAGCUUGGCCGUGGUGGCUUUGGAGUGGUUUAUAAAGGGGAAUUGGAUGAUGGGACAAAAAUAGCAGUAAAAAGAAUGGAGUCUGGUGUGAUUAGCAGCAAAGCCUUGGAUGAAUUUCAGGCUGAGAUUGCUGUUCUUUCAAAGGUCCGACAUCGUCAUUUAGUAUCACUUUUGGGUUAUUCAAUUGCAGGCAAUGAGAGAAUCCUUGUUUAUGAGUAUAUGCCUCAAGGAGCUCUCAGUAAGCAUCUUUUCCACUGGAAGAGCCUGAAAUUGGAGCCUCUUUCUUGGAAGAGGAGACUAAAUAUUGCCUUGGAUGUUGCUAGAGGAAUGGAAUAUCUUCAUAAUCUAGCUCACAGAAGCUUCAUACAUAGAGAUCUUAAAUCAUCAAAUAUCUUACUUGGUGAUGAUUUCAGGGCAAAAGUUUCAGAUUUUGGACUGGUAAAACUUGCUCCUGAAGGGGAGAAAUCUAUGGUGACCAGGCUUGCUGGGACUUUUGGAUACUUGGCACCAGAAUAUGCUGUGACGGGAAAAGUCACAACCAAGGUUGAUGUCUUCAGCUUUGGGGUUGUGUUAAUGGAGCUGCUGACUGGGUUGAUGGCACUCGAUGAGGACAGACCAGAGGAAAGUCAAUACCUGGCUGCAUGGUUCUGGCACAUCAAAUCAGAUAAGCAGAAACUUAGGGCUGCCAUUGACCCUGCCCUUGAUGUCAAAGAUGAAACAUUUGAGAGUAUUUCCAUCAUUGCUGAACUUGCUGGGCACUGCACAGCAAGAGAGCCCAGCCAAAGGCCGGAUAUGAGCCAUGCAGUGAAUGUACUAGCCCCUCUUGUUGAAAAAUGGAAACCAUUGGACGAUGAUAUAGAAGAAUAUUGCGGUAUUGAUUAUAGCCUACCACUUAACCAGAUGGUGAAGGGCUGGCAGGAAGCAGAAGGGAAAGAUUUCAGUUAUGUGGACCUAGAAGACAGCAAGAGUAGUAUCCCAGCAAGGCCAACAGGCUUUGCAGAGUCUUUCACUUCCGCAGAUGGUCGGUAAAAGAGGUUUUUUUUUCACUGCCUUUCUUUAUCGGGUGUUCUUUUGGUAGGUAGUAUGUUCUGUUGUUUUUGUUUCUGAAUUUAAUGUCAAUAUGCUGUACUGUCAAUGCAUAAUAUGGUGGAUUGUGCAUUCCAAACAUUUCAGAGCAUUCAUGUAGGCUUUGAAUUUUUAGUUGUGAGAUUGCUAUUGGUGACGUAGAUAGAGAACAAUGAUAAAUGCAAACUUCUUGUUUGAUUAUUUCCUUGUCCUUCCAUAGAGGUUAUUGCAGUCUGCCAUUGUUGCUGAAUUGAGUUCUCAUUUGAGCUUUAGAUGAGUUCAGUGUGCGCAUUUGACUCUUCUCAAUGAGAUAUUGAUUCCAAUAUCAAUCCACUCCCAGUGGCCAUUGCCAAUGCCUGACCCAAAAGGAUACCAUAGAACUUGCCAAACAUCAUAGGACCAAAUGGUGGGUCUGUUUUCCACUGUCCUUUUUCACUUUCCAGCUGCUGAAAUGGAAUGCUUUAUGCUAUUAUUGUCACUGCACCUAUAUGUAUAUAACACAGAUGUUGAUAGGAUUGAUGCGAAUUUCUGCUACAAAGACUAAUGUAUGUCUGAUCCAUGCUUGCCCAUGUGGGUGGCCUCUUCUUUUCCAUUUAGGACAACUAGCAUGUUAGUUUCAGGGUUUUGGCCUCAUUAGGGUGACAAAUUAUGAUUCUUCUGACCAAUCAAAAGCAAUAACAUGGCCAAUAAAUGGCGGGUUGUGUUGUGUGGUAAUUGAGAUUGUUUGUUUAGAGCCUCAAAAAUUGUUCACUUCUCCCUACAUCUUAACAG
rnacentral:misc_RNA from 1 species